AGGGCUGCAGCGUGCAGCCUGGAGCCUGCAGCCUGGAGCCUGGAGCCUGGAGCCUGGAGCCUGGAGCCCGCCUGGCGGGACAGGGAGCGGGACGGGGAGCCGAGAGCCGCGACAUUUCCAGCCCAGAACAAGCCCACAGACCUCUGCAGAAGUUGGCAGGCACAAGGUGGCAUUUAUUCUUCUGCAAACGGUCUCAUUUCUCCAGGGACCCCUCCUCUUUUAAAUGUGACCCAGGGAGGUUCUUUGGCUGGCCUAAUAAUUAAAUUGAUAUAAGACAGAAUAACAGAAAAAAAAAUGAACAAAAGUAUACAUGAAUGGGCAGCCCUGGUGGCUCAACGGUUUAGCGCUGCCUUCAGCCCAGGGCGAAAUCCUGGAGACUCAGGAUCGAGUCCCGUGUCGGGUUCCCUGCAUGGAGCCUGCUCCUCCCUCUGCCUCUCUCUUUCUGUGUCUCUCAU